GAUCAUGGCUCAGGAUGAACGCUAGCUACAGGCUUAACACAUGCAAGUCGAGGGGUAGCAGGAUCUAGCAAUAGAUGCUGACGACCGGCGCACGGGUGAGUAACACGUAUCCAACCUUCCGUUUACUCGGGGAUAGCCUUUCGAAAGAAAGAUUAAUACCCGAUAGUAUGUUCCUUCGCAUGGGAGAACCAUUAAAGUUUUUCGGUAAUCGAUGGGGAUGCGUUCCAUUAGGCAGUUGGUGAGGUAACGGCUCACCAAACCUUCGGUGGAUAGGGGUUCUGAGAGGAAGGUCCCCCACAUUGGAACUGAGACACGGUCCAAACUCCUACGGGAGGCAGCAGUGAGGAAUAUUGGUCAAUGGACGAGAGUCUGAACCAGCCAAGUAGCCGUGAAGGAUGACUGCCCUAUGGGUUGUAAACUUCUUUUAUAUGGGAAUAAAGGAGCCUACGUGUAGGUUUUUGUAUGUACCAUACGAAUAAGGAUCGGCUAACUCCGUGCCAGCCGCCGC
rnacentral:rRNA from 1 species